CUCAAUUGCUCACAGCUCAAGUGAGCGUGAGAUGAGGGAGAGAUCCGGAAGAAGAGAAGAAAGAAAGAGGAAGAAAAGAAAGGAAAGAGAGAAGAGAAAAGAGAGAAGAAAAGACUGAAAGAAAAGAGAGAAGAAAGGAAAGAGAGAAGAGAAAGAAAGAAAGAGGAGGAAGAAGGAAAAUAAAAUAAAAAAUAUGAGAAUUCUCCAAGGAAUUGUGAGUUGGAUGCGGAUUCAAAAUAAGGGCAUGCAAUGCCAGGUAAGGGGACACAACACCAAAAACCCCAACAAAUUUUUAUUAUAAAUCUUUUGAAAAAUGUUGGAGAUUUUAUAAAGAAUCCACUUACAUGAUUUUCAAUUGCACUUCCUUCCAUAUUUUAAUGACAAGUUCAUAUGUCAUUGUUUAAGAAUUUUGAUACAGUUACCAUAUUUCAUGAUUUAUACAUGAUUGCAAUUAUGAAUGAAAAGAGCUCUCAAAGUUCAUGGUACGGGUGAGUUUACCAGAUCAUAUAAAAUGUUAUAUGUGCAUUCAUGGCAUAGCAGAUGAGUUUACAGAUCACAUGAAAUGUUAUAUGUGCAUUCAUGGCACAAUAUACAGUUACAGAUGAGUUUACAAAUCAUAUGAAAUGUUAUAUGUGCAUUCAUGAUUAAAAACGUUUAACCCGAGACAUGAUUAUAGUGACGAUCGGUACCAUAUAGGGUAGCAUGGCAAGCACACCGAAUGACGGUUACGAGAAGGUGUGUGCUACCGGCCAGGUGGCCUUCACCUAGGGAAGUUCCCAACCUGGUAACUCUCCCAUGUGACGACAAGAUGAGCAUAUAGGUCAUUUGGGACACGCCAACGUGCGCUGCUCACAGUAAAAUUGUGGCGUCGGGUCAAAGGCGAAAUCAACAAGACAGGAAGAGGAAGAAGAAGAAGGAGAAGGAGAAGAUAGACGGACCUAGAUCGAAUCGAAUCGAAUCGGAUCCGACCCACAUACGCACAUCCUCCUGGUAUGUACGUGGGUCUGUGUAUUUUCAUGUUUUGGGGCUGUUUAUGGAUUUGGGUCUUUGUUUUCGUCCCCUGUAAUUUUGAGUUGAGCUUGCAUAUGUUGUUUUCUUUUCUGUGAACAUUGGCUUUGACGGUGAAUUUGUUAUUCUGGAGUUUUUUCUUUCUUGGUUCAAAUGUGUAGUGUUUGCAUAUGAAUAUAUAUAU